CCUUCUUCUUCUUCUGCAAGCCAAACCGAGAGAGGGAGAAACCCCCUCACCGGCCACCGUGGCAUCUCCACCAUGGCGCCGCCGCUCCAGGCACCCCCCUCCUCCUCCGAGCACACCCAGAGCUCCGCCUCGUUCCCCUCUUCCUCCUGGUGCACGGAAUCGACCGGAGGAGCCUUCUACCGUCGCCAAAUCGCCGGUUCUCUCACUCCGGCCGCCGCAGUUCAUGGAUGAUUUCGGCGCCGUCCGUCCGCCCCCGUCUUCACCGAGGUCACCACCGCCUUCCUGACCUCACCGCCGACGCCGUUCCGGUGAACUCCAGGGAGCAGCUCCGCCACCAUCUGGUCCGCGCCAACGAGAGGAAGCCAGCGAGCCUACGCGUGCGUCUUGGGGCGCUCUACGUCGUCCGCGCGCCCCAUGCCGCCCCGGUGGUCACCGCCGUUUCCGCGACGCGCGCGGCAUCAACCUGCGUCGAACACCUUCCCUGCGCCUCACACGCUUCGCCAGCGUGGCAUCCACGUCGUCCCCACGGUCCCACCUGUCAGCCAGAUUGGCUAGAUCUUCCCUGGGCGAGAAAACAUCCCCCAGAUCUGGAUCUGGACGGUUUGCGUCCAGGCCCUUUUGUUUCCCAGAUCCUCAACCCGAGGUCCUUCUGUGCAGGAGAUUUUGCGAGCAGCCCCCUGCAUUCCUGGAGAUCCAACCCGGGCCCCCUUCUGCCGUGUCAGCAGCCGCGUCAGCGUCCUGGCCCCGCGUGUCAGUGCUGUGGCUAGCUGUUCGUGGCAUUUGCUUCUUCACGGAUAGGAUCACGAAGUGGUGUUGUGAGAUACGACAAGUUCUUUUGCAGCUUUUCACAGGCGAGCCCUCUCUCUUCACCUACUCUCCCUCGCAUUGCUAUCCUUAUGUUGCGCUUCUUUAUCGAGUCACUUGUCCUAUUCCACUUGUUUACCAUAAUAAUCCCAUAUAUAUCAUUCCUUACCCUUAGCCGUUGCUUGAUGUUUGAGCCUUGCGAGUCGUAGGCGUGUUUAGGCUCUAUUGUUUAUCUCGAUCUGUUAUCGGGAUAUGUUGGGUUGUUGGGAGGUUAUCACAUGCUACAUCAGUUAUUCACACUUUACUUUAUUGUUAACAACUAAAAUUGUAAGCAGAGGCAUCUGUGAGCCCCUUUGCGAAAGCAUCGGAACUUUGACUCGCUAAUGUCCCCUAGGACCCGAGUUCUUGUUAUCUGUUCCGAGAUUGAGCGCUCUACCCGUACGUGGGGACGUUUAUUGGGACCCCCCCUCACCCAUUACCUUUUCUCAAGUCAGUUGAAAAGGGGGCCACAACCUUGGUUUUAUUUGCCUAUGCCAUGUAUGCCAUGCUUUACUUACUGUUGCCUUCGGGUGUUUACUUCCUGUUGCCUUCGGGUGUUUAUAUUCUGUACUGUACCCCGCGGGACGUUUAGCGAAGCGUGUGGUUCGCACGCCUAGCCGCCGACGCAAACCCUGAGUCCGUCUCGGAGUACGGCCGGACUUCGUCACGGGUAGCUUAGUCGGGUGGCCCCCCUAGACUUUCUUGUUGAAGUGGGAACGGUCUUGUUGUGAGACAUCCACCUGUCGUAAGUGGGUCGAGCAUGCGUAUGGUUACAUUUGGGCAACCCCUGCAGGGUGUACAUCUUUUCGAAAAGCCGUGUCCGCGGUUAUGGACGACUUGGAAUUGUAUAGCUCGAUCAUAGAACAACUUACACCUUUAUGUUAUUGAUAAUAAUUUGCUAAUAACUUGAUUAGUAAUAUAGGAUUACUACAACCGAUACCUAAUAAAACUUGUCCACCGUUGAGUGCCUUUUACAUUGCCUCUUCACUUUGUUGGAGGGGAUAUGUGUAAUCGGCUGGGUUAUGUUUGUGUAGUAUUUAUCUGUUACCUUGUGCGCUCUCUUAUCUUCUCUGAGUAGACGGAUGUUGUAGCGUGUCACUAUUGGUUAUAGUUUUGCUGCCGCUAAACCUACCAUAUAGCCCUAGGCGAUAUAUAUUUAUACUCGCCCGGCGAGCAUAGCCAUUUCUAGUCUCGCUAAGUACGUGCCGGAGUUCGUUCCUUGGUACUUACUCUCGCCAUUCCCCUUUCUCUUUUGCUUCCUCCCUUUUGUCGGCAACCGAUGGCCCGACUUUGGCAGGUACAAGAUGACGACGUUAGCAAGGUUACCCUUCCGGCUUGGCCUGGGCAGGGUUAUGGACGCCAUUGGUUAUCUUCAGGACUCUUAGUCCAAUUUGUAUCUUGUCCGUACUCGGACUUAUUUGAUCUUCUGUAUGAUUUGGAUCUUUGUAUUGUAUAUUUGUAUCUUGACUCGUUGGAGUCGUUGUUGUAAUAUAUGUAUCUUGUGGGCUCUA